rnacentral:ncRNA from 1 species
CAUCGUGAGAUGGAAUCUGAAGGAAGCCGGAUGUGGGGAACUAACUAACCCACGGGCAAACCUCUGGUCUGACGGACAGAAACCGUAUAGAAGGCCGUACAUGAGGGUAAGUCUGCGCCACAAGACGAAGCCCAAUAGCUACACGGAAUCAUGUGCGGUAAAUGCGGCAGAUUUAUGGAGGGAAAGAAAC